UACGAGGGGGGCGAGCGUUGUUCGGAAUUAUUGGGCGUAAAGGGUGCGUAGGCGGUUUGGUAAGUCUUAUGUGAAAUCUAUGGGCUCAACUCAUAGUCUGCAUGAGAAACUGCCGGGCUUGAGUGUGGGAGAGGUGAGUGGAAUUCCUGGUGUAGCGGUGAAAUGCGUAGAUAUCAGGAGGAACACCUGUGGCGAAAAGCGGCUCACUGGACCAUAACUGACGCUGAUGCACGAAAGCUAGGGGAGCAAACAGG
rnacentral:rRNA from 1 species